CUGUUGAACACCGCGGGUUCACACCGCGCCUCCCGCAUCUCCAAAUCUCCGUUGGUCGGGCAGCGAACGUCAGUCCUUCCCGGAGCGUUGCACGUCGGCUCGGAGAGCGUCGCGAUGCGCCUUGUCUCCUGCGCGACCCGCUGGCGAUGCUGUCGGUUGGUAUCGCUGCGGCUUGGGAGCAGCGCACCCCGCUGUUCGCGUGCCGCCCGGAACCGGGGUGACCGCGCUCAACGCAAGGCGACGGCAGCGCUGGACGAGCUGCGCGCAUCUCCGGCUCGGGGACGUAGGCGAGGGGAGGAUGAAGUUUCGGCGUCCCUGGGCGGUCCUCUGCUGCUUCCCGCAGCAAACCAUCGCACUGGCACCACACCUGCGGCUGAAUUCCAUCUUGUUUCUCCUCCUUAAGGUGAAGGUCUUCAUUUAUUUUUUUUUUUUCCCCUGCCUUAAUCAAGGCUUUGAAUUUCAAUUUCCUCGAACGCAGUGCAGCCUGCUGAAAGUUGAAUAACUUACGAGGCUCUGGUGGCCUGUGAGAGAAGAAAACAAGCGCCAGCAGUGAUGGAGAGAUCAGAAAAGCACUGCUGGAGAUGGAAAGCUUGUGCCAUCGCCGAUAUUUCUGUGCUGCUGGAGAUGAUCUUGGAGCAGCUAAUGCAGAGAGGAGCCCUGGAGGAACUGUUGGAAGGCAGGCAUGGGGCGCAGGCUGCGCUUCUGUUUCGUUCUCUCCGCAGUUGUUGCCCGGCUGAAGGCAGGAGCCUGGGCUCACGGGAUGCCUCUGGAGGAUGCUGCAGCACUCUGCUUCUUCUGAACACAGCGGCACGGCAGUCGUUAAUCGCAGGGCUGAGUAAAUAGCUGGGAGGGGGCGGGGGAAUGCUUUCCCCCAAAUAUUCAUUAGGAUCUGAAAGCGCAUUUCCAUUUGACCUUGCUCGCUUUCUGCAAACACUUGAGCCGUCGAGCUUGGCACGCAUGAAUGCUCGUGCAGGGUGAAUUGUGUUCGCCAGCAGUGGUGUGGAGCAGCACGUCCUGGGCUGCAGGAAACCCAGAGUCAGUGUGGUGGGGCUGCUGCGGGUCUCUUGUGCCAUGAGAGCUGGUGGCUCCCAGCCACGGCUUGCUGCUGGGCCAUCUCUUGUCACCAUGCAUCUUCCAGUGAGUCCGCAUAGUGAGAAAUGGUGAGAAAAAUGAGAUGUGUGUCUGUAAGAGCCAAAGACCCCGUGCUUUGUAUUAAAAUGUGUUCAACGGAGAUUAACUCGUUCUGCUUAAUAUUUAUUACUGUUUCAUUUUGCUGGAUGUUGAGACUUGCAGAGCUUUGAUGAAUGGUCUGAAAGAUUCUGCAGUUUCCCUGUAGUCAAUUGAAGUAUCCCUAUACUCUUUGCUGAAAAAGCUAAUUUGUAAUUUCCUAUGUAAUUGUCCUCCUGAUUGUCUGCUGAGGGAGUAACACCGCCCCAGAACGCAGCACGGAACCUGGCCACCUGUCCCCCUUCUCAUCACCAGUGCCUGGUAGUGGAUGGGUUCCUGCUCUCCCUUUGGGUAUCCAGCUCCUGGGUGCUGCAUGGGCAGCAGCCGCAGAGCCGUACCACCGAGCAUCCCCAAGCCAGGUCCAGAGGGAAAGCGCCAGCCUGCUGCUAGCGAGCAUCGUCCCUCCUAUGAAUAAUUGAAGAGCCUCACUGUUGAAUAUUUAAUUACAAUAAUAUUUGGUUAACGGAGAUUGUUGGUCUCCUUUUGUGCGACUGAGAGUUGCUGUGAGAAAACAACC